GGAAUCUUGCGCAAUGGGCGAAAGCCUGACGCAGCGACGCCGCGUGUGGGAUGACGGCCUUCGGGUUGUAAACCACUGUCGGGAGGGACGAAGAUCUGACGGUACCUCCAAAGGAAGCACCGGCAAACUCUGUGCCAGCAGCCGCGGUAAUACAGAGGGUGCGAGCGUUGUCCGGAAUCACUGGGCGUAAAGGGCGCGUAGGCGGCUUGGUAAGUAGGGGGUGAAAUUCCGUGGCUCAACCGCGGGACUGCCUCCUAAACGGCGAAGCUUGAGCACGGUAGAGGCUGGUGGAAUUCCCGGUGUAGCGGUGGAAUGCGUAGAGAUCGGGAGGAACAUCGGUGGCGAAGGCGGCCAGCUGGGCCGUUGCUGACGCUGAGGCGCGAAAGCGUGGGGAGCAAAC
rnacentral:rRNA from 1 species